ACGACAACGUUUUGUUCGCUGUUUGCUUCCGUGCGUGGAGCCCUCGGAGCUGUGCUCUGAGCCACGGAAUCCGGGCGGGGGAUCGCGCUGCCGGCCGCGUGUCGGGGCGCGGGGACGACGUUGCCGCUGCUGCCGCCCCAAGGCCGCGCGCGGAGGGGCCGUGGCAACGCCCGCGGCGGCCACGAGGGGUCCCCCUCGGGCAGGGCUGCGGCCGCGCCGGCCGGCUUCGGGGAGCGGGGCGCGGAGCGGUUCUUGCGGCCGAGCUCGGGCUCCCGCGCACUUCGUUUGUGACGGGCUGCUGGCCGCUGUUCGCUCGUCUUCGGGAGAGGUGCCGCCUCAGCACCUCCCCAGCUGCUGCGGUGAUUCCUUCUACCUGGAGCACAGAGGAUCCGAGGGAAGGAGCACUUGUCAGCAGGAAGCACAGGUCUCAUGGAUGGCUUUUGAAGGCUGUGGGCAGGGCUGAAGUGCUGAGUUCCUGCAGCAGGGAUGCAGCGGAAGUCUGGAGGAAAAGCAGCUAUGGAGAUAACAGCAGCAGUGACAAUCAGAAGAAGAGGGAUGGAGCUUAACUCAAAGACAACCCAUCGACUGAAGCAGACAUCUGUUUCCGUGGAAAAAGUCAUCUGUUGCUGUGAUGAGCUCGUGCCCCUCCUUGCCUUGGGGGAGCUGGGAGGAGGGGAAGGAGGGAUGGAGGUGGCCAGCAUGCUGCUGGUCAGGCCGAGCUGUGCCUGAGCCACAGGCAAAGGACCUCCAGGGGGUGGGUUAGGGGCUUGGAUCCCAGCACCUGUCACCUCUGCUGUGGGCAGCCCUGACUGUAGCAUUGCCCUGCUUUGCUUCAGAGCCACACCCUUCACAAAAGCACAAGCAUCCCCAAACACACCCGAGCUCCUGACAUGGUGCCACGGGUUUCUGCCAGGCUCUGCUUCCAUCCUGCACGAGCACCAGGGCAGCCUGGAGAGUAAACAAUAUCCUUUAAUAGGAACAGCGGGCAGCUGCUUCUAGUGCAGGCAGGCAGGAGCAUUCCCCAUUCAGAGCUAGCACACGGGAAGCAGGAAGGCAGAAGGGGAACUGAAAUGCCCUGAUUUGGAAGUCUCUAGUAGAAAGGCGGCUGUUUCGUGUGCCGAGGCCAAGGGAGAUAUUUUUAUUCAGCAGGAAAUAUUCCGUGUCUGCUCAGUAUAGAGGCUCCAGCCCGCACUCCCGGCCCCCAGUGGAUGUGACCAUGGCAAGCACAGGAGCUGCUGCCAGCUCCUUGGGGCCUCUGCGUGGGGCUGGGGCUGCAGCCCUCUCCCCAUUGCCCACCCCCUGUUCUGAGGCCUGACCCGCACUCUGCAGCCUAACCCGCUCUCUGCAGCUCACCCCAUUUCAUGUGGCCUAACUUGCUCCCUGCACCCAGCGGAGCCAGGAGGGGAGAUGCCAAAGUGUGAACAGGCAUCCAAGCAGCAAAAACAGUGAAGUGGGUGGGCAUCGCUCCCAUUUCCAUGAGAAUGAGGGAAAGAUGGGGAGCCUGGCUCCAGGUUUCCUACUGCGCUGUCACCCACUGAUGGGCUCUCUGCUUUGUUCAUCUCUGCUUUUUCCCCCUUUCCUUAUGUAGACUGUUCUCAGUGGAGCCCAGCUGCUGGUCCCGCUCACUACAAACACUCCUGUAAGCCCCAGGCUGCCACUGCUAGUACACAGGCACAAGGGGUCCCACAGCCCAACAAGGACAAAGCUUUUAGGGCAAAGCACCUGCAGCUGGGGGCCAGGAGAGGGCCUGCUCUAGGGCUGUAAUCAUUAAGGUUGGAAAAGCCCACUAAGAUCACCUAGUCUAACUGUCAACCCAUCAGCACCACGCCCACUAAAUCUGUCCUUCAGUGCCACAUCUUCCUCUUCGGUGCUGCCUGCUGCCAGCCCUCGGGCUGAAGCGUAGGUCUGUGCUGAGCUGGGCCGCAGGGUGACAUCCGCUUUGGUGCCAUCCCCACCCUGGGGGAGGUGACCUUCAGGGGACCAGGGUCUCCAGCCUGGGAGGAGCAAGCAGACGACCAGGCUCUUCACCUCCCAUACUGUACAUUAUACAGAUUUCUCAGUCCCCGGGAGAUGUUCUGCAGGCAUUUUUUUUUAUUUCUGAAGAGCAGGCAGCAGGGAAAGGAAAGGUUGAGCUCCCUUGGGAACUUUGUAAUUUAUUUUUACUUUUUGUUUCUUUAAUCUUGAGGAAGGAACAGACUAAAAGGGGCAUAAAUUAAAAGAAAAAAUGCAGCUAGCUAGGACAAAAAUAUGCGGCUGAAACCUUUGCCCAGGGUUGUGAGUUCAUGCAUGAGAGACGCUCAGCUAAGGGGAGCAUUCUUCAUGUCAAACUAGGACUUUAUUGUGUUCUACCUGUGUUUCUUCUGGGAGAGUGACCAGAGUGAUCCUCCCCUCCAACAGUGAGCAUGGAGGCAGGGGACCACAUCCAAUAGUGAGCCACCAAGAGCCGUGAUGUGCCAAGCUCCAAGAUUACUGCUUUGCUCAUUGGGCUUUCUUCUAAGCUCAGUAUUAACCAGAGUUGAACAGCACACACAAAAGUCAGAAGCGAGGGUUAACCAAAGCUGAGGGGUGGGGGCUUGUGCUUGGGAGGGUGGUGGGACUGAGGGGGCUGCAUGCAGCAGUGUUCGCCCUUGCCAGAGCCCAGCAGGUAUUUCCUAGCAUCCAGCCAGCAGGCACAAAGUGUUUUAUCCCACUUCUGGUCACAUGAAUGAAGCUUUUUAAUAACUAUUCCUGUGCUCAGUCAAAUAGCUCUUUGUUUUAUAAAUGCAUUUCAUUGCUUCUCUGUAUCUUCUUGAUGUAUAUAAUGCAAAAUCCCUUUAGGUAAAUUAAUGUGUGUUUUCAGUGA